UCCGCUCCCCUCUCCCUAUCGAUGGUGUGGUCCGUCCGCGUUCCCCUGAAGAUCCGCAUAUUCAUGUGGCAGCGGAUUCGCGGCCGGGUCCCGUCUGGAGUGGAGGUCUGCAAGCGCAAUGGCCCGGGCACCGGUAUCUGCCCGCUCUGUGGAGUCCCUGAAGACUCGAACCACAUCUUCUUCUCCUGCGUCUCAGCCCAGUUCCUCUGGAGCUGCUUUCGCGAGGUGGUCGGUGGUAGUUGGUGCCACACCAAUUUCCCGGACCUUUUUGCUGAACUCCGGUUGUCCCCCGCGUCCUCUCGC
rnacentral:rRNA from 1 species